rnacentral:lncRNA from 1 species
GUGGACUGUGCCAGGAAACGUGGUAUGGUUGAGUGGGUUGGAAGCCCUGGAACUUCAUACCAGAGGAUGGCAGGAGUUUCACUUGCUUCCGACCAGGACCCUGUCACAUGACCACAGCAUGCCAUGGAAAGGAUCAUGACAAUCACAUAGGAGCUGUGCCCCAAGUCCCUUUACAUGCAGAUGAGGCAUCCCUAACAUCAUAGACCAAGCAAAUAGAAAGCAUCUGCUGCCAGACUCCAACCCACCCCAAAAACAUAUAUGAGACCCUAUCCAGAAGAAUGGAUAUCCAGAAGAAUGGUGUGAGAGUUACUCCAUCACUGAGAGCUUCUGUCACAGAAGAGCUGUAACACUUCCUGGGAAAGAGGGUUCUCUCCUGAAGGCUGCUAGAAGCUGCCUGGACCCACCUCAGUCACUUGCCAUCAGGUGGCCCAGACCUUGGUGGUUCAGUCCCAGCAGUGGGAGCAGUGGUGGUGGUUGCCCUUCCCUCUCCCUGCUUGUGUGGCCAGCCUGCCUGCUGUGUAGCAAUGUCUUGCUGUAGCAGCUGCCACAGAUGAGAACCUCGAUCCAACUCCCUUCUUCCCUUUGCUUAAAUGCUACCAAUGGCCAGAGCCCCCACAGAUCUCCAAGGCUAGUGUCCGGUAUACAGACAGGCAGUUGCAGGGUGAAACCCACAGCUAUUUUGCUUCUUAUUUUGCUUAUGUUAAAACCAUAGUGCCCUUUUUGACUGGGAAUAGAGUCCAGUGUUUCUAACUUAAGCAAAAGUAUUUGUGCACUCCUGGGGAAGGCUUACUUCCCUCUGCGGCCCUAUGGUUAGAACAGGAGACUUGAUUAGGGGUAGUUUUCUCUUCUGAGUCCAUCCCUGCUUCCCCAGGAGUGGUUAAUUUUUGACUAGGCCUAGCAUACUCAAUCUUUUCUCUAGUAGUUUGUCCUUUGGGUGACACAUUUAAGAAGCAAUUGCCUAAACUCAGACCACAAAGAUUUAUUCUUGCAUUUCAACUCCCCCCACCCCUGGGUUUAUAGUUUGGGGGGGGGUCUUCAUUUACUACCUGUAGCUCCAAUUGCAGGGACCUGGUGUUCUCUUCCUGGCCUCUGUGGGAACCCACACAUGUAUGAUGACAUAUGCACAUAUACAUAAAAGGAGAAUUUAUAGUUUUCAAAUUUUCAUGUAGGUCUUUGAUCCACUUUAAUUUCGUCUGGUCUGACUGGAAAGGGACAUUACAAAUUUCUGUUUGGCCCCCGCCUUUCUUCCAUUUCUCCUUGUUUCUCUUUUCUGCCUUCUGUCCUGGAAGUUCUAUUUCUUCUUUAGUUUGAGGCAAGGUUUUACUGUGUGGCCCUUGCUGGCCUAGGAGUCAUGAUCUAGACUAACUUGACCUCAAAUUCACACACACCUAUCUGCCUCCCAAGAGAGGUGGCAUUGAAGGUGUGGCCACCAUGCUUGGCCUAACCAGAAGCUCUGUUUGAAUGUCAACAUUCAAUUCAUAAGAAGAUGCUGAAGCACCCUCCCUGCACAUCAUAUGGAAAACACAGGCCCAUAUUCAGUGUGGAGAACACACCAUGGUUGUUUUUUUUCCUUGAUUAGUGGCAGAGUCUAGUUGAGCUCGUUGGUCAUCGUUAUGUAGGUUACAUUGAAGAGCAGGGGGCUGGGUGACCAGUCGAGACUCUGUGGUGGCCAAAACUCCACGUCCUAUUAGUUCUGUUCUGCUUGGACGCUGUGCAGAAUACAAUGCUGUUUUGCAGGCAAGUAGGAUCCCCCGGUAUGCAGCUAUAAACAGCCGAGAGCCAAUGGGCAGGAAAAUCAGGCUGAGCGCUAAGCCUGUACUUAAGAGGGGACUCUUCCAGUGAAGGGCUACUGCUGAGGCUGCGGAAUCCCAUUGUGUGCUGUUGUCCCGGGAAGAGAGAAAACAGACAUUGUUGCGUUUCUGUCAUAAUGAGUGUGCUUACUUUACUCCUGGCCACAACAAUGGACUGUGGGGAUGUGACUCAAUCUGCCACACAAGAGAAAUCCUGAAAAAGCCAGGUGUGGGGAUCCGGCAGAGGUUCUUUGUGUUGAUUUCCAGUCAAAGUGACAAAAGCUAAUUCAAAUCUUCUGUAAAUUGUCAAAAGAAGAGUGGCCCGUUUGGCAGCUUUUGGGCAGGCAUGUCCUUCCUGAGGUGUGUGGGCUCUGAAUAUCCACAGAGCAGCCUCAUCCAGGAGCCACUGGGGCUGUAUAACCAUGGCACAAAGAACCAUGCACAUUUUCCGCCCAUGGAUCCACAUGAGGGGACAUUUUGACUAAAAUGACUUUCAGAAGCUGCGGUCAGGAAGGACAAUGGAGCCAUAAAGUGUCUGAGCUAGGUCCAUGUGUUUUGAUCCACAGUUAUCGUCUUAGUUAAGGACUUGCUGCUGUGAAGAGACACCGUGACCAAGGCAACUCUUAUGAGAAUAACAUUUCAUUGGGGCUGGCUUACAGAUUCAGAGGUUCAAUCCAUUAUCAUCGUGGUGGGAGCAUGGAAGCUUCCAGGCAGGGAUAGUGCAGGAGGAGCUGAGAGUUCUACAUCUUCAUCCAAAGGAAGCCAGGAGCAGAUUGUCUCCCUCAUGGCUAAGAGGAGAUCCUAAAAAUCCACCCCCAGAGUGACACACUUCCUCCAAGAAGCCAUACCUACUCCAACAAGGUCACACCUAAUAAUGCCACUCCCUUGGCCAAGUGUAUUGAAACCUCCAUAGUCAUUAAAGUAAUAGUUGUUCAUUGGCAUAACACCAUCUCAUAUUACCAAAAUAAAGUUCAUUCGAGUAAUAAUCUACUUCAAAGUUAAAAAUCCAGUACUAACCGUUACCUACAGGUGAAAAGGAUAGUCAAAAAAGAAGCUGAAAUUCCUAGACUCCUGCUAUCAGGCUAAUGGGCACAAGUUAGCAUGCUUCAGUUGAUAAGAAGGGCAGCGAGUGGGAGCUAGGGAGCUUGAUGCAAAUCUUACCACCAGUCCAAUCCACUCAGCAAACCUCAGGGAAGGGUUGGCUUUGAAAAUCAGCCACAGCCAGGCAUGGUGGCACACGCCUUUAAUCCCAGCACUUGGGAGGCUGAGGCAGGUGGAUUUCUGAGUUCGAGGCUAGCCUGGUCUACAGAGUGAGUUCCAGGACAGUCAGGGCUACACAGAGAAACCCUGUCUCGAAAAAAGAAGAAGAAGAAGAGGAAGAAGAGGAAGAGGAAGAGG